rnacentral:rRNA from 1 species
GACGAACGCUGGCGGCGCGCUUAACACAUGCAAGUCGAGCGAUGAAAUUUCGACAGAUCCCUUCGGGGUGAAGAUGAAAUGGAUUAGCGGCGGACGGGUGAGUAACACGUGAGUAACCUGCCUUUGACAUUGGGAUAGCCUCGGGAAACUGGGAUUAAUACCAAAUGACACUAACUGAUCACAUGAUCAAUUAGUCAAAGAAAUUCGGUCAAAGAUGGACUCGCGGCUGAUUAGCUAGUUGGUGAGGUAACGGCCCACCAAGGCGACGAUCAGUAGCCGGCCUGAGAGGGUGAUCGGCCACAUUGGAACUGAGACACGGUCCAAACUCCUACGGGAGGCAGCAGUGGGGAAUAUUGCACAAUGGGGGAAACCCUGAUGCAGCGACGCCGCGUAAGCGAAGAAGGCCUUCGGGUCGUAAAGCUCUUUUAUGAGGGAAGAUAAUGACGGUACCUCAAGAAAAAGCCCCGGCUAACUACGUG